rnacentral:rRNA from 1 species
UCGAGAAUCUUCCGCAAUGGACGAAAGUCUGACGGAGCGACGCCGCGUGAAGGAUGAAGUAUUUAGGUAUGUAAACUUCUUUUAUCUGGGAAGAAAUUUUUGACGGUACCAGAUGAAUAAGGGGUUGCUAAACUCGUGCCAGCAGCAGCGGUAAUACGAGUGCCCCGAGCGUUAUCCGGAAUUAUUGGGCGUAAAGGUUGCGUAGGCGGUUUUAUUAGUCUCCUGUUAAAUUCCUCGGCUUAACCGAGGUAGUGCAGGGGAAACGGUAAGACUAGAGGAAGUGAGAGGUUUGCGGAACUCAUGGUGUAGCGGUGAAAUGCGUUGAUAUCAUGGGGAACACCAAAUGCGAAGGCAGCAAACUGGUACUUUCCUGACGCUGAGGCAAGAAAGCGUGGGUAGC